UGCUGUCGGAUAAUCGGAUCCGACAAAGAGCCAAUUGGGGCUAGUCAC
rnacentral:ncRNA from 1 species